GUACCCAUAGCUCAACUGGACAGAGUGUCAGGUUACGGCCCUGAAGGUUGCGGGUUCGACUCCUGCUGGGUACGCCA
rnacentral:tRNA from 10 species